rnacentral:rRNA from 1 species
GACGAACGCUGGCGGCGUGCUUAACACAUGCAAGUCGAACGGUAAGGCCCUUCGGGGUACACGAGUGGCGAACGGGUGAGUAACACGUGGGUGAUCUGCCCUGCACUUCGGGGUAAGCCUGGGAAACUGGGCCUAAUACCGGAUAGGACCACUGCCUGCAUGGGUGGUGGUGGAAAGCUUUUGCGGUGUGGGAUGGGCCCGCGGCCUAUCAGCUUGUUGGUGGGGUGAUGGCCUACCAAGGCGACGACGGGUAGCCGGCCUGAGAGGGUGACCGGCCACACUGGGACUGAGAUACGGCCCAGACUCCUACGGGAGGCAGCAGUGGGGAAUAUUGCACAAUGGGCGCAAGCCUGAUGCAGCGACGCCGCGUGAGGGAUGACGGCCUUCGGGUUGUAAACCUCUUUCAGCACCGACGAAGCGCAAGUGACGGUAGGUGCAGAAGAAGGACCGGCCAACUACGUGCCAGCAGCCGCCGUAA